rnacentral:snRNA from 1 species
UUAAUAUGCGACGGAAAUC